rnacentral:tRNA from 1 species
GCCAGGAAGUCGCGCACUUUAAGAGUUUCCGCGUAUUGAGUGUUUGCAAAAACGUGUAAAAAGAAACUCAAAAUCAAGCGUAGUUCCCUACGUGCCGGUUCGAGUCCGGCCUUCGGCACCA